rnacentral:rRNA from 1 species
GACGUAGGGCGCGAGCGUUGUCCGGAUUUACUGGGCGUAAAGAGCGCGCAGGCGGUCAGAUAAGUCGAAUGUGAAAGCCCCCGGCUCAACUGGGGAGGGUCAUUCGAUACUGUUCGACUCGAAGGCAGGAGAGGGAAGUGGAAUUCCCGGUGUAGUGGUGAAAUGCGUAGAUAUCGGGAGGAACACCAGUGGCGAAGGCGACUUCCUGGCCUGUUCUUGACGCUGAGGCGCGAAAGCUAGGGGAGCAAACGGG